rnacentral:rRNA from 1 species
UAGCAUAUCAAUAAGCGGAGGAAAAGAAAGCAACAGCGAUAGCCUCAGUAACGGCGAGUGAAGCGGCUACAGCUCAAAUUUGAAAUCUGGCCUCCUUUGGUGGUCCGAGUUGUAAUUUGCAGAGGAUGCUUUGGCAUUGGCGGCGGUCUAAGUUCCUUGGAACAGGACAUCGCAGAGGGUGAGAAUCCCGUACGUGGGCGCCUGCCUUUGCCGUGUAAAGCUCCUUCGACGAGUCGAGUUGUUUGGGAAUGCAGCUCUAAAUGGGAGGUAAAUUUCUCCUAAAGCUAAAUACCGGCCAGAGACCGAUAGCGCACAAGUAGAGUGAUCGAAAGAUGAAAAGUACUUUGGAAAGAGAGUCAAAUAGCACGUGAAAUUGUUGAAAGGGAAGCGCUUGCAGCCAGACUUGCCCGCAGUUGCUCACCUAGGCUUUUGCCUGGGGCACUCUUCUGCGGGCAGGCCAGCAUCAGUUUGGGCGGUCGGAUAAAGGUCUCUGUCAUGUACCACCCUUCGGGGUGGCCUUAUAGGGGAGACGCAAUGCGACCAGCCCGGACUGAGGUCCGCGCAUCUGCUAGGAUGCUGGCGUAAUGGCUGUAAGCGGCCCGUCUUGAAACACGGACCAAGGAGUCUAACAUCUAUGCGAGUGUUUGGGUGUCAAGCCCGGGCGCGUAAUGAAAGUGAACGGAGGUGGGAACCUUUCGGGGUGCACCAUCGACCGAUCCUGAUGUCUUCGGAUGGAUUUGAGUAAGAGCAUAGCUGUUGGGACCCGAAAGAUGGUGAACUAUGCUUGAAUAGGGUGAAGCCAGAGGAAACUCUGGUGGAGGCUCGCAGCGGUUCUGACGUGCAAAUCGAUCGUCAAAUUUGGGCAUAGGGGCGAAAGACUAAUCGAACCAUCUAGUAGCUGGUUCCUGCCGA